UACGUAGGGGGCAAGCGUUGUCCGGAUUUAUUGGGCGUAAAGAGCGUGUAGGCGGCCAGGCAGGUCCGCUGUGAAAACUCGAGGCUCAACCUCGAGAGGUCGGUGGAAACCGUCUGGCUAGAGUCCGGAAGAGGAGAGUGGAAUUCCCGGUGUAGCGGUGAAAUGCGCAGAUAUCAGGAAGAACACCCGUGGCUAAGGCGGCUCUCUAGUACGGUACUGACGCUGAGACGCGAAAGCGUGGGGAGCGAACAGG
rnacentral:rRNA from 1 species